AUUGAACGCUGGCGGCAUGCUUUACACAUGCAAGUCGAACGGUAACAGGCCGCAAGGUGCUGACGAGUGGCGAACGGGUGAGUAAUGCAUCGGAACGUGCCCAGUCGUGGGGGAUAACGCAGCGAAAGCUGCGCUAAUACCGCAUACGAUCUAUGGAUGAAAGCGGGGGACCGUAAGGCCUCGCGCGAUUGGAGCGGCCGAUGUCAGAUUAGGUAGUUGGUGGGGUAAAGGCCCACCAAGCCAACGAUCUGUAGCUGGUCUGAGAGGACGACCAGCCACACUGGGACUGAGACACGGCCCAGACUCCUACGGGAGGCAGCAGUGGGGAAUUUUGGACAAUGGGCGCAAGCCUGAUCCAGCAAUGCCGCGUGCAGGAAGAAGGCCUUCGGGUUGUAAACUGCUUUUGUACGGAACGAAACGGUCUGGGUUAAUACCCCGGGCUAAUGACGGUACCGUAAGAAUAAGCACCGGCUAACUACGUGCCAGCCGCCGCCGUAA
rnacentral:rRNA from 1 species